AUUGAACGCUGGCGGCAUGCCUUACACAUGCAAGUCGAACGGUAGCGGGCCUUCGGGUGCCGACGAGUGGCGAACGGGUGAGUAAUGCAUCGGAACGUACCUUUCAGUGGGGGAUAACGUAGCGAAAGUUACGCUAAUACCGCAUAUUCUGUGAGCAGGAAAGCAGGGGAUCGCAAGACCUUGCGCUGAUUGAGCGGCCGAUGUCAGAUUAGCUAGUUGGUGAGGGAAAGGCUCACCAAGGCGACGAUCUGUAGCGGGUCUGAGAGGAUGAUCCGCCACACUGGAACUGAGACACGGUCCAGACUCCUACGGGAGGCAGCAGUGGGGAAUUUUGGACAAUGGGGGCAACCCUGAUCCAGCCAUGCCGCGUGAGUGAAGAAGGCCUUCGGGUUGUAAAGCUCUUUCGGCCGGGAAGAAAUCGUAUGGGCUAAUACCCUGUGCGGAUGACGGUACCGGCAUAAGAAGCACCGGCUAACUACGUGCCAGCAGCCGCCGUAAAAC
rnacentral:rRNA from 1 species